rnacentral:rRNA from 1 species
GAUGAACGCUGGCGGCGUGCCUAAUACAUGCAAGUCGAGCGAACAGAUAAGGAGCUUGCUCCUUUGACGUUAGCGGCGGACGGGUGAGUAACACGUGGAUAACCUACCUAUAAGACUGUGAUAACUUCGGGAAACCGGAGCUAAUACCGGAUAACAUAUUGAACCGCAUGGUUCAAUAGUGAAAGGCGGCUUUGCUGUCACUUAUAGAUGGAUCCGCGCCGUAUUAGCUAGUUGGUAAGGUAACGGCUUACCAAGGCAACGAUACGUAGCCGACCUGAGAGGGUGGUCGGCCACACUGGAACUGAGACACGGUCCAGACUCCUACGGGAGGCAGCAGUAGGGAAUCUUCCGCAAUGGGCGAAAGCCUGACGGAGCAACGCCGCGUGAGUGAUGAAGGUCUUCGGAUCGUAAAACUCUGUUAUCAGGGAAGAACAAAUGUGUAAGUAACUGUGCACAUCUUGACGGUACCUGAUCAGAAAGCCACGGCUAACUACGUGCCAGCAGCCGCGGUAA